CAUUUGGAGAAGUGGAACAAUUCUUUGGUUGCUAAUUCUGUGAGCAACUUUGGUACUACUUCUGGUGCUACUGGAUUUGGAGUUCCCCAACAGCAUCAGUUUAAUCUUUCCAACUUUCAAGUCUUUGGCAACGGAUUGGAGGGCUUCAACAACCCCCAAAAUCUAUGCUGAUUACUUAGAUUUAUCUUGAGAUCAUGUGGUUUAAUUGAAUUUCAUGCAAGCUAGCUAUAUAUUCAAGCAUCAUGGGAGAAUUCAGCGAAAAAAAAGGUAUUACCGGAGAAGAGUAUAUUUUUAUGCAUGCUUUCCUCAUCUCAACAAAUGAACAGAAUUAUGUACAUAAGAAAUAUGCUGGGAUUGGCUGUGGAUGGAGGUUUCUAGAGUAUAUAUAGUUUUACAAAAGACUUGCCUAUAUAUAUCAGCGGCUGUUUGUGGAGCAAAACUUGGUGAUGACUGAUCAUAUUGAAUAUCAAGCACUCUUCAUCUUCGAAGGCAGUCUUGUCAUAAUUAG